rnacentral:rRNA from 1 species
CCCUUAGACGUUCUGGGCCGCACGCGCGCUACACUGACGAAGGCAACGAGCUUUCCUUUACCGAAAGGUACGGGUAAUCUUUUGAAACUUCGUCGUGCUGGGGAUAGAUCCUUGCAAUUAUUGAUCUUAAACGAGGAAUUCCUAGUAAGCGCAAGUCAUCAACUUGCGUUGAUUACGUCCCUGCCCCUUGUACACACCGCCCGUCGCUGCCCGGAACUGAGCCGUUUCGAGAAAGCCGGGGACUGACGGCUUGUGGGUGCGCAAGCGCUUCUUGCCGAUGGAAACCAGUUUAAUCGGUAUGGCUUGAACCGGGCAAAAGUCGUAACA